UUUUCUUCUUCCAAUUCAUGAUUUUUUUGGGGAGAAUAUAGUAAUAGGAAGAUUAUGGAUGUAAAAGUUCUCUUUAACAGUGGAAACUUUUAAAGAAGAUGGAGACUGUGUCUCUUGCUCAAACUUCAGGAAACCUGAGUCAUCUUAAUUAAGGACUCUUAAAGAAAGAAGAAAUCAAAAGAGAACCAGCACCUGGAACAAUAGAAAGAAGGUCACAUGGACAUACCAAACAGAGAUAGCCAUGGAGUGAAUCAAAACCUUGGUCAGAAGUCCCUUAUGGAAGUUGAUGCUCGGAUGGAUCUUCGAGCUCCUGGUAAAUCUGACUGCUUAUUCGAAAAUCUUUAAGUUAUACUGAUAUAUACCAGUGCGUGAUGAUUUUGAGUUUGUUCAAAUUUCAGUUUUGGGGGUUGAAAUAGAGCAUAAAGAACUUAAUUUCAUAGCUUAAGAAAUGAAAUUUGUGAAAUAUCUUUGAAGUCGGUCGUGCCUUGAUGUGGGCUGAUAUCAAAUCAUACAAACAAAAACCAUGCACAAACUAAGUCCUGCACAUUUAAGUAGCAGGAUUCUAUUGCUCAAGAGGUCACUUUAAAGUUCCAUUUUUUUAAUUUUUCUAUAUCAAAUAAUUUCCUUUCACAAGAUAGAAAGGUACGAGGAUUGGUAGUUUCAUCACAGUUAAACUGAGAGAUGAGUAGAACAGAACAAACAAGACUUCAAUUUUGACUCAACUGAAAAAAAUAUGUAUGUGGGUACUCUUUUCUUCUUAUAUAUUGGAAGGAAGUAGGGUCCAAUUCAUAUAACAAAUGAGCAGGUUUAAGAUGCUAUGCAACUCACAUGUGAAGGUCUGUCGAAGUUGUAAUUUGAGUUUACUUUAGGGCAAACUUGUAAAUCAAUUGUUCCAAGUGCUAUGUAAUACACUAAUACGCUUUGUUCUUCAUUGACAUCAGUAGAUUCUAGAAUUUGCUCCAAAAAUUGUUUCUCUCUAGCGCUUCUCUUUCUCUGCUUUCAAUUGUGAGUAAAUUUCCCUGCAGGGUUCGGGGUUGUCUUCGAUGCUACUGGGUUUGUUAAAAGACAUGCAUAGUUUGACCCUUAAUAGCCAGCUUCAGCCUGCCGGAUGUUGACAGCCUUGUGUCUCUUAAAAUCGGAAAAGUUCAGAGUGGAGAGGCAGUGUCAAAGAUUAUCUACCAAAGCUCAAAGAAAGAUGAUAUCUUAUACCAUGGUAAUAGUAUGGAGUGUUAUUAUGUCAUGUACAUGUAAGAGGAAUUUCAUUUCCACAGUUUUUGAAAAUAUAUUGGUGUCUGCAACUGCAACCUAUGAGGUAUGGUUGUUUCGAACACAAAAGGUGUGAUUGCAAGAAUAUUCUGAGCCAUCAGUUUCUAUAAUUUGGUACAACGCUAGACUUGAUUAAAGUUUGAGCAGCACAUACCUCAAGCUUUACUUAGGGUACAUGCUCAAAAUGUUGACUUAAAAGGAGUCCUACAGAAAACUUACAAAGUAACGACUUGAGUUUCUACUUGUGACUUCAUUUCAUAAGGGAGAAGGUGCAACAAGAUUUAGUUCAUCCUGAAUACAUCCCAUCUAAUGAACUUGAGACAGAUUAGUUGACAAAGGACCUGCAAAUGCUCAGCAUUAUUAUUUGCUAUCCAAGCUAGGUGUGCUGAACAUUUUUUCACCACCUAGCUUGAAAUGAGUAUACAAAUGUUUUCCCGUGUUGAACCUUUCAAGUUAUUUUGUAGCUGCAGGUUGCAAACAGUGAAUCGAGCAUUUGCCCGUUGUUCACAUAAAAGUACAUUUAAGCCGGAAUGUGAGCGCGGGCAUCACUAUCUAGUACAUACAUAUGGGUGUGUUCUCACGUGCUUGCCUUGGAUUACUUCUUUAAUGUUGGGCUUGGUGGGCUAAUCUCUUGUCUGGGCUGUCCAAUCCCAGAGUUGGGUCACGUGGCCCAAUCGAAAGAAUGGGCUUGAUCUCUACAUUGGACUCCAAGGAAACCACCGCUCUUCUUUAAUUUUUUUGCAUUUAAAAAAGAGACGACCCUUAAAGCUUACAAAGCACAAGCAAUUUGACUGUUACUUUAGAUUUAAUUUCAUGCAUUUAAGUACUUGGGUAAAAUAAGUUGCAAGGGAUGACCCGU